rnacentral:rRNA from 1 species
GACGAACGCUGGCGGCGUGCUUAACACAUGCAAGUCGAACGGAAAGGCCCUGCUUUUGUCGGGUGCUCGCGUGGCGAACGGGUGAGUAACCCGUGAGUAACCUUCCCUUGACUUUGGGAUAACUUCAGGCAACUGGGGCUACUACCGGAUACGAGCUCCUGCUGCAUGGUGGGGGUUGGAACGUUUAGGCGGUGUGGGCUGGACGCGGGGUUUAUUAGCUGGUUGGGGGGGUAGUGGCUUACCAAGUCUUCGACGGGUAGCCGGCCUGGGUGGGUGACCGGCGACAUUGGGCCUGCGAGAGGGCGCAGACGCCAACGGUAGGCAGCGGGGGGGAACAUGGCACAGUGGGCGGAAGUGUGAUGAAGAAAUGCCGCGAGCGUGAUGACGGCCUUCGGGUGGUAAACCGCUGUCGCCUGUGACGAAGCGGGAGUGACGGUAAUGGGUAAAGAAGCACCGGCUAACUACGUG